CGCACAUUGCACCUUAGAGUAUUCUUUAAGGUAUACCUGUUUGAGCGUCGUUUAGAACAAUAAAGCUUUGCUUUUGUGAUGGGCUUUGGUUUGGCAUUGGAUCUUUUUACAGAUUCAUUUGAAAAUAACCAAUUCCUCAAACUUAGAACGCGUUAUUCUGAUGAACAAAGAGCACAGUGAAAAUGUGCUGCUAAUUCAACUCAGUUUUAUCGUUUGAACUUUGUUUCAAUAAACCAUUUUGUUCGACCUCAAAUCAAGUAAGAUUACCCGCUGAACUUAA
rnacentral:misc_RNA from 1 species